UGGGAUGUUUCUCCUCGUGUUUGAUGGGAUGUUUCUCCUCGUGUUUGAUGGGAUGUUUCUCCUCGUGUUUGAUGGGAUGUUUCUCCUCGUGUUUGAUGGUGUGUUUCUCCUGCAGCUCUCAGGUAAGUGCAGCGGAGCUCUGAGAUGCAGCGUCAUGAGUGUGUGGCCCUGUUCACUAUUUGUAUGAACAUUAUUGCUCUCUGAUUGGAGAGCCACUUUCUGUCUGAUUGCCCAGCCCUGAUGUUAGUGUGAGGUGUGAACGGGGUCAUUGUGUGUGUGUUCUAACAUGCAUUCAUGUCUAUGUGUGUGUGUGUGUGUGUGUGUGUGUGUGUUUGUAGCGAUGCUGCCCAGCCUGGUGCUGCACCGCUCCUCGGUGCGACCCUACCAGAGGGGUCUGUACUGCAGCGACUCCAGCCUCAGCUACCCCUACAAGAAGAGCACGGUGCCGUCCUCAGUGCUCACCGCUGUCGGGCUCUUACUGCCCGCCGUGUCACUAGCCUGCCUUUCCUGAUCAUUGAGACUAGCACCAUUAAGCCGUACCAGCGCGGGUUUUACUGUUCGGACGAGUCCAUCCGCUACCCCCGAAAAGAGGGAGACACCAUUAGCGAUGCGGUGCUUUGUGGCGUUGGCAUUCUUAUUGCCAUCUUCUCUAUCGUGAUCGGAGAAUGUUUCAGGAUCCAUCAGCUUCAUGAAGGAACAAAGUCAUUUAUCGGGAAUCCGUACAUCGCAGCGCUCUACAAACAGAUGGGCGUGUUUCUGUUCGGGUGUGCCGUCAGCCAGUCGUUCACCGACAUCGCCAAGGUCUCUGUGGGUCGGAUGAGACCGCACUUCCUGGACGUGUGCAGACCCGACUUCUCCGCCAUUGACUGUUCCCAGGGUUACAUCACCAACUACACCUGUAGAGGAGACGAGAGCGACGUGCAGGAGGCCAGGAAGUCCUUCUUCUCUGGACACGCCUCUUUCUCCAUGUUCACCAUGCUGUACCUGGCUUUCUACAUCCAGUCCAGGUUCACGUGGCGUGGCGCUCGUCUCCUCCGCCCGCUGCUCCAGUUCACUCUACUGAUGAUGGCGUUUUACACCGGCCUGUCACGUGUCUCUGACCACAAACACCAUCCGACUGACGUCCUGGCUGGAUUUGUGCAGGGCGCCCUGGUGGCCUACUGCAUAGUGUUCUACGUGUCCGACCUGUUUAAGCCACGGGUGAAGCCGGCGACACCCCCACCCUCCCCCAUAAAGAAGGAGCUGCUGCCGUCAUCGGAGAUCAUCGACAGAAACAACCACCACAACAUGGUGUGAGCGAGGAGCCAAUCACAGCGCUGCUCACCUCCCAUCAGACAGUAGAAUGUAGCCACGAGACUGGAGCUGCGUCUCAAACGCCAUCCUCGCCCCGCCCACGGAGAGGGUGUCCUCUUUGAGAUCUGCAGGGUUGGCUCUCGCUAUCCAGACUUUUAUUUACUACUACGUAAACUACUAAUCUCCAUUUGAGCCCGACGUCUGAGCACAAACCGACUGAAGCUAAAGACAAGGUAGUCACGCGACUGGCAGAGACCACGUUUGACGAAGCACACGGAUAUGAAGGAGAGAGGCGGCGUCCUCUCUGAACUCUCUGUGGCCUUGGACCACCGUAGGACAACAACUUCCUCAGAGACAGGAAGGAGAUUACUGCAGCAUAGAAACAUUGACAGGAUAGAACGAUAACUUAAAGCACUGUUUGAACUUCAUGGUCCAUUUUUAUCACCACUCGCUGCCUGAGACGUCCCUCUGCAGGAAAACGCCACGCUGACGGGAGACAGCUAGAGCCCGCUAAGACAGGUAGACUACAGGUAGACUACAGGUAGACUACAGGUAGACUGGUUCACUAGCACAGGUAGACUACAGGUAGACUGGUUCACUAGGACAGGUAGACUACAGGUAGACUACAGGUAGACAACAGGUAGACUACAGGUAGACUGGUUCACUAGCACAGGUAGACUACAGGUAGACUGGUUCACUAGCACAGGUAGACUACAGGUAGACUACAGGUAAACUGGUUCACUAGCACAGGUAGACUACAGGCAGACUGGUUCACUAACACAGGUAGACUACAGGUAGACUACAGGUAGACUGGUUCACUAGCACAGGUAGACUACAGGUAGACUACAGGUAGACUGGUUCACUAGGACAAGCAGACUACAGGUAGACUACAGGUAGACUGGUUCACUAGGACAGGUAGACUACAGGUAGACUACAGGUAGACUGGUUCACUAGCACAGGUAGACUACAGGUAGACUGGUUCACUAGCACAGGUAGACUACAGGUAGACUGGUUCACUAGGACAGGCAGACUGCAGGUAGACUACAGGUAGACUGGUUCACUAGGACAGGUAGACUACAGGCAGACUACAGGUAGACUGGUUCACUAGGACAGGCAGACUACAGGUAGACUACAGGUAGACUGGUUCACUAGCACAGGCAGACUACAGGCAGACUACAGGUAGACUGGUUCACUAGGACAGGCAGACUACAGGUAGACUACAGGUAGACUGGUUCACUAGGACAGGUAGACUACAGGCAGACUACAGGUAGACUGGUUCACUAGGACAGGUAGACUACAGGUAGACUGGUUCACUAGGACAGGCAGACUACAGGUAGGCUACAGGUAGACUGGUUCACUAGGACAGGUAGACUACAGGUAGACUACAGGUAGACUACAGGUAGACUGGUUCACUAGGACAGGUAGACUACAGGUAGACUACAGGUAGACUGGUUCACUAGGACAGGUAGACUACAGGCAGACUACAGGUAGACUGGUUCACUAGGACAGGUAGACUACAGGUAGACUACAGGUAGACUGGUUCACUAGGACAGGUAGACUACAGGUAGACUACAGGUAGACUGGUUCACUAGGACAGGUAGACUACAGGUAAACUGGUUCACUAGGACAGGCAGACUACAGGUAGACUACAGGUAGACUGGUUCACUAGGACAGGUAGACCACAGGUAGACUACAGGUAGACUGGUUCACUAGCACAGGUAGACUACAGGUAGACUACAGGUAGACUGGUUCACUAGGACAGGCAGACUACAGGUAGACUACAGGUAGACUGGUUCACUAGGACAGGUAGACUACAGGCAGACUACAGGUAGACUGGUUCACUAGGACAGGUAGACUACAGGUAGACUGGUUCACUAGGACAGGCAGACUACAGGUAGGCUACAGGUAGACUGGUUCACUAGGACAGGUAGACUACAGGUAGACUACAGGUAGACUACAGGUAGACUGGUUCACUAGGACAGGUAGACUACAGGUAGACUACAGGUAGACUGGUUCACUAGGACAGGUAGACUACAGGCAGACUACAGGUAGACUGGUUCACUAGGACAGGUAGACUACAGGUAGACUACAGGUAGACUGGUUCACUAGGACAGGUAGACUACAGGUAGACUACAGGUAGACUGGUUCACUAGGACAGGUAGACUACAGGUAAACUGGUUCACUAGGACAGGCAGACUACAGGUAGACUACAGGUAGACUGGUUCACUAGGACAGGUAGACCACAGGUAGACUACAGGUAGACUGGUUCACUAGGACAGGUAGACUACAGGUAGACUACAGGUAGACUGGUUCACUAGGACAGGCAGACUACAGGUAGACUACAGGUAGACUGGUUCACUAGGACAGGUAGACCACAGGUAGACUGGUUCACUUGCACAGGUAGACUGCAGGUAGACCAUCUCAGUGAGUGGCCCAUGGUCCAAGUCCCUCUUCCUCUAUGAAUCUGGAUCUUAUAGCUCCAUCAGGCGGACCGGGUCCCAGCUUGGUGGGCUGUUAGCGAGGAUCAGUACCGGGGCUUUCACUGAUCGAAGCCAGCGCCAUGGCGAGGAGGGGUUUAGAGCAGUGGGCAGAGCCUUAAACCUGAAGGGUCAAAGCUCAAAAUGUGGCUGAGCCAAACUGAUGGGAUCAAUUUUUAUGGUCAAACCUGAGAGGACAGCCAAAUCAUGGAUCACCUCCACCUCUCCCUCCUCACUCUCGUCUGUCUCCGUGUCAGCUCGUCCCGUUUCCUGCAGAGGACUCUCAGCGCCGCCCAAACCGGGAUGUUGCAUUUCUGGAGGGUUAGAUGUAGGGAAGAGUUGGGAUUAAUCUGUGGAGGGAGGGGCCAGAUCCCCCCCAGCACCGGGAAGAGAGGCCUGGCUGUGCCAGGACUCCUUCUGGUGUUGGAUUGGUCCGUUUGGCUUCCUAAACAGGAAGUAGGCGGAGCAGUAAGUGGGUGUGGUCUGUCAUUGAUAAUUGACAGCUAAGCUGGCACAUGAUGGCAGGAUGGUUGGAGCUCUUUCUGCUGGCAGGGAGGAGCUCACAGCCAGCCAAUCAGACAACGACGAAGGAUGUUUGAUCUCAGCAUGAGUGUCCGUGUGUCUGUGGUGAAUGAUCCUGAUUGGUCAGUUUAUUAACAGCCAACCGGCUUUUAUUUUGAAAGGACACAUAUACAAAAACAAAUGUUUCUCAGUGAAAGUUUAUAAAUGAAACAGGAAACAGCCCCUGCCUGUGCUUUCAGACACGAACCACUUUUAUUUCCCAUCUCCAUUUUAACCUUUUUAUCACUCUGUUUGUUUUUCUGAGAAAUGAAUAAACGAAAAACGGUUCAUUCUUUCAUCUCAUUUUAUGUGUGGAUCAUAAAAAUGAGGAUAAAAGAACGGAACACUGGGGCAUGCAAAAGGCACAUUAUCUCUCUACAUAUAAUUAUGAACUAAAAGGGGUGACAUUAUUGCUCAGGCAAGGAUGGAACAUUUAUAAAUUUUAAAGAAUGAUAUCAACUUUCUAAAGCCCUUUAAAGUCAAUAAAAAAUGUAUUAUCUUAAAAUGCAAGAAUUAAAUGUUUUAAAGAAUGACAUCUUUUAAGGCAAGAAUGGAAUGUUUUAGAGAAUGACAUCAUCUUUAGAGGCAAGAAUGGAAUGU